rnacentral:rRNA from 1 species
GACGAACGCUGGCGGCGUGCUUAACACAUGCAAGUCGAACGGAAAGGCCCUGCUUUUGUGGGGUGCUCGAGUGGCGAACGGGUGAGUAACACGUGAGUAACCUGCCCUUGACUUUGGGAUAACUUCAGGAAACUGGGGCUAAUACCGGAUAGGAGCUCCUGCUGCAUGGUGGGGGUUGGAAAGUUUCGGCGGUUGGGGAUGGACUCGCGGCUUAUCAGCUUGUUGGUGGGGUAGUGGCUUACCAAGGCUUUGACGGGUAGCCGGCCUGAGAGGGUGACCGGCCACAUUGGGACUGAGAUACGGCCCAGACUCCUACGGGAGGCAGCAGUGGGGAAUAUUGCACAAUGGGCGGAAGCCUGAUGCAGCAACGCCGCGUGCGGGAUGACGGCCUUCGGGUUGUAAACCGCUUUCGCCUGUGACGAAGCGUGAGUGACGGUAAUGGGUAAAGAAGCACCGGCUAACUACGUGCCAGCAGCCGCGGUGAUACGUAGGGUACGAGCGUUGUCCGGAUUUAUUGGGCGUAAAGGGCUCGUAGGUGGUUGAUCGCGUCGGAAGUGUAAUCUUGGGGCUUAACCCUGAGCGUGCUUUCGAUACGGGUUGACUUGAGGAAGGUAGGGGAGAAUGGAAUUCCUGGUGGAGCGGUGGAAUGCGCAGAUAUCAGGAGGAACACCAGUGGCGAAGGCGGUUCUCUGGGCCUUUCCUGACGCUGAGGAGCGAAAGCGUGGGGAGCGAACAGGCUUAGAUACCCUGGUAGUCCACGCUGUAAACGGUGGGUACUAGGUGUGGGGUCCAUUCCACGGGUUCCGUGCCGUAGCUAACGCUUUAAGUACCCCGCCUGGGGAGUACGGCCGCAAGGCUAAAACUCAAAGGAAUUGACGGGGCCCCGCACAAGCGGCGGAGCAUGCGGAUUAAUUCGAUGCAACGCGUAGAACCUUACCUGGGUUUGACAUGGAUCGGGAGCGCUCAGAGAUGGGUGUGCCUCUUUUGGGGUCGGUUCACAGGUGGUGCAUGGCUGUCGUCAGCUCGUGUCGUGAGAUGUUGGGUUAAGUCCCGCAACGAGCGCAACCCUUGUUCACUGUUGCCAGCACGUUAUGGUGGGGACUCAGUGGAGACCGCCGGGGUCAACUCGGAGGAAGGUGGGGAUGACGUCAAGUCAUCAUGCCCCUUAUGUCCAGGGCUUCACGCAUGCUACAAUGGCUGGUACAGAGAGUGGCGAGCCUGUGAGGGUGAGCGAAUCUCGGAAAGCCGGUCUCAGUUCGGAUUGGGGUCUGCAACUCGACCUCAUGAAGUCGGAGUCGCUAGUAAUCGCAGAUCAGCAACGCUGCGGUGAAUACGUUCCCGGG